GUCAUGCCAAUGGCACUGCCCGGUAGCUAAAUGCGGAAGAGAUAAGUGCUGAAAGCAUCUAAGCACGAAACUUGCCCCGAGAUGAGUUCUCCCUGAGACUUUAGAUCUCCUGAAGGAACGUUGAAGACGACGACGUUGAUAGGCCGGGUGUGUAAGCGCAGCGAUGCGUUGAGCUAACCGGUACUAAUGAACCGUGAGGCUUAACCUUACAACGCCGAAG
rnacentral:rRNA from 1 species